CGCCGCCGAUCUUUUCCUCCGUCGUUAGGACGAAGUCAAAUCAGGCAGCGCGGCCCUAACUAAGCACCUUGGGACGCCUAAUGCAAAGGUCAAGGGUUGUAACAAAGGCCCAUUUGGAUGGACAGGGCAGCAUCAGAAACCUCUUCGCCCGACCGAGACCUAUCCCCCGAUCGCGUCCCCUCACCAAAAUGUUGGAAAUGGAGAAGUCGGCUGCCUUCGCCAUAUUCCUAUACUGUAGCUUCUGUUUUCAACCUGCUUGAAGACUUGCUUCAAGUGCGUCUUCUCAUCAUAGAAGAUCAAGGGUUGUAGCAAAGACCCACUUCGGUGGACAUGGCAGCAUCAGAAACCUCUUCACCAGACCAAGACCAAUCCCCCGA